UAGGCGUAAAUGAUGCGAGUUAAGUGUGGGGGCGAUCUACGAGAUGGCCCUGUGCUGUAGGGUAGCCGUUAAACUCGCUGCCUGGGGAGGUACGGUCGCAAGGCUGAAACUUAAAGGAAUUGGCGGGGGAGGCACCGCAACGGGAGGAGCGUGCGGUUCAAUUGGAUUCAACGCCGAAAACUACACCAGGAGCGACGGAUAUAUGAAGGUCAAGCUGAUGACUUUACCUGAUUUUCCGAGAGGUGGUGCAUGGCGUAGUCGUGU
rnacentral:rRNA from 1 species